GAUGAACGCUGGCGGCGUGCUUAACACAUGCAAGUCGAACGGUGAAGGCGGAGCUUGCUCUGCUGGAUCAGUGGCGAACGGGUGAGUAACACGUGAGCAAUCUGCCCCUGACUCUGGGAUAAGCGCUGGAAACGGCGUCUAAUACUGGAUACGAGCUGCGAAGGCAUCUUCAGCAGCUGGAAAGAAUUUCGGUCAGGGAUGAGCUCGCGGCCUAUCAGCUUGUUGGUGAGGUAAUGGCUCACCAAGGCGUCGACGGGUAGCCGGCCUGAGAGGGUGACCGGCCACACUGGGACUGAGACACGGCCCAGACUCCUACGGGAGGCAGCAGUGGGGAAUAUUGCACAAUGGGCGCAAGCCUGAUGCAGCAACGCCGCGUGAGGGACGACGGCCUUCGGGUUGUAAACCUCCUUUAGCAGGGAAGAAGCGAAAGUGACGGUACCUGCAGAAAAAGCGCCGGCUAACUACGUG
rnacentral:rRNA from 1 species